rfam:Prevotella sp. CAG:279 genomic scaffold, scf127
ACAGUACGGUGUCCUGUCGCUUGCCGCCUCUUUUGGCGGUAAGAGGAAAGUCCGGGCAACAUAGAGUGCCAUAUUUCCUAACGGGAAGCUGUCGGCGACGGCAGAGCAGUGUGACAGAAAACAACCGCCACGCAAGUGGUAAGGGUGAAAAGGCGGGGUAAGAGCCCACCGGGCGCGAUGGCGACAUUGCGCGCCGCACAUCUUAUGGGUUGCAAGGUCAAGUAUACCGGCAUUUAAGGGCUACUCGUCCAUUGCCGGGGGGUAGGCUGCUGGAGCCACGUGGCGACGCGUGGCGUAGAUAAAUGACAGGACGCGGCUAAGGCUGCGACAUAACCCGGCUUAUAGCCGUACUGUUUUU